GACGAACGCUGGCGGCGUGCUUAACACAUGCAAGUCGAACGGAAAGGCCCUGCUUUUGUGGGGUGCUCGAGUGGCGAACGGGUGAGUAACACGUGAGUAACCUGCCCUUGACUUUGGGAUAACUUCAGGAAACUGGGGCUAAUACCGGAUAGGAGCUCCUGCUGCAUGGUGGGAGUUGGAAAGUUUCGGCGGUUGGGGAUGGACUCGCGGCUUAUCAGCUUGUUGGUGGGGUAGUGGCUUACCAAGGCUUUGACGGGUAGCCGGCCUGAGAGGGUGACCGGCCACAUUGGGACUGAGAUACGGCCCAGACUCCUACGGGAGGCAGCAGUGGGGAAUAUUGCACAAUGGGCGGAAGCCUGAUGCAGCAACGCCGCGUGCGGGAUGACGGCCUUCGGGUUGUAAACCGCUUUCGCCUGUGACGAAGCGUGAGUGACGGUAAUGGGUAAAGAAGCACCGGCUAACUACGUGCCAGCAGCCGCGGUGAUACGUAGGGUGCGAGCGUUGUCCGGAUUUAUUGGGCGUAAAGGGCUCGUAGGUGGUUGAUCGCGUCGGAAGUGUAAUCUUGGGGCUUAACCCUGAGCGUGCUUUCGAUACGGGUUGACUUGAGGAAGGUAGGGGAGAAUGGAAUUCCUGGUGGAGCGGUGGAAUGCGCAGAUAUCAGGAGGAACACCAGUGGCGAAGGCGGUUCUCUGGGCCUUUCCUGACGCUGAGGAGCGAAAGCGUGGGGAGCGAACAGGCUUAGAUACCCUGGUAGUCCACGCUGUAAACGGUGGGUACUAGGUGUGGGGUCCAUUCCACGGGUUCCGUGCCGUAGCUAACGCUUUAAGUACCCCGCCUGGGGAGUACGGCCGCAAGGCUAAAACUCAAAGGAAUUGACGGGGCCCCGCACAAGCGGCGGAGCAUGCGGAUUAAUUCGAUGCAACGCGUAGAACCUUACCUGGGUUUGACAUGGAUCGGGAGUGCUCAGAGAUGGGUGUGCCUCUUUUGGGGUCGGUUCACAGGUGGUGCAUGGCUGUCGUCAGCUCGUGUCGUGAGAUGUUGGGUUAAGUCCCGCAACGAGCGCAACCCUUGUUCACUGUUGCCAGCACGUUAUGGUGGGGACUCAGUGGAGACCGCCGGGGUCAACUCGGAGGAAGGUGGGGAUGACGUCAAGUCAUCAUGCCCCUUAUGUCCAGGGCUUCACGCAUGCUACAAUGGCUGGUACAGAGAGUGGCGAGCCUGUGAGGGUGAGCGAAUCUCGGAAAGCCGGUCUCAGUUCGGAUUGGGGUCUGCAACUCGACCUCAUGAAGUCGGAGCCGCUAGUAAUCGCAGAUCAGCAACGCUGCGGUGAAUACGUUCCCGGGGCU
rnacentral:rRNA from 1 species